GUGAGCAUGGAAGCAGAUCCUUUCCCAGCCAAGCCUCAGACAAGGCCUUCAGACCUGAGCUGAAAUCUACACCACCGGCUCUCUGACUAUCAGGCUUUGGACUAUACUUUGGGCUUUCCUGGGUCUCUUACCUGGCAGACAGCAGAUUUUGGAACUUUUCAGCCUCCAUAAUCAUUUCCCAGAAGAACCACAAAGCAUAAAUUUCCCCAAAAGGGGAAUUUUGUUGAUGGCUUUAGUCUAUUCCCUCCUAAAAGACCAGCUACAACCAAAUGAAGUGAACAUAACCUCAAGGGUGUAUUGUCUUCAUAAUAAAAGAUGAAGCUUAGAACUGGAUCACUUGGCCCUUUCUCUUCUGACAUCCUCCCAGUUGA
rnacentral:lncRNA from 10 species